UCAACGGCCGCGGUAUUUUGACCGUGCAAAGGUAGCGUAAUCAUUUGUCUUUUAAAUGAAGACCCGUAUGAAAGGCAUCACGAGAGUUUAACUGUCUCUAUUUUCUAAUCAAUGAAAUUGAUCUAUUCGUGCAGAAGCGAAUAUAAUAACAUUAGACGAGAAGACCCUAUGGAGCUUCAAACACUUAAAUUAAUUAUGUAAUUACUUACCUCCCAGGAUAUAAACAAAAUAUAUAACUUCUAAUUUAACUGUUUUUGGUUGGGGUGACCAAGGAGAAAAACAAAUCCUCCCCAUCGAUUGAGUACUAAGUACUUAAAAAUUAGAAUGACAAUUCUAACCAAUAAAACAUUUAUCGAAAAAUGACCCAGGCUUACCUGAUCAAUGAACCAAGUUACCCUAGGGAUAACAGCGCAAUCCUUUCUCAGAGUCCCUAUCGAAGAAAGGGUUUACGACCUCGAUGUUGGAUCAGGACAUCCUAAUGGUGCAACCGCUAUUAAGGGUUCGUUUGUUCAACGAUUAACAGUCCUACGUGAU
rnacentral:rRNA from 1 species